GACGAACGCUGGCGGCAUGCUUAACACAUGCAAGUCGAACGAGACCUUCGGGUCUAGUUGCGCAGGGGUGCGUAACACGUGGGAAGUUACCCUUAGGUUCGGAAUCACUCCCCGAAGGGGGAGCUAAUACCGGUUAAUGUAUUCGGACAAAGGAUUUCUCGCCUUUGGGUGGGCCCGCGUUGGAUUAGCGAGUUGGUAGGGUAAAAGCAUGCCAACGAGACGAUGCAUAGCUGGUCGGAUAGCAGGACCAACCAGACUUGGACUGCGACACGGCCCACACCGGUACGGGGCGGAGCAGUGGAGAAUAUAGGACACUGAGCGCAGGUCUGACACCGCAAUGCCGGGGGAGAGAGGAAGGGCUUAGUAUUGUAAAGCCCUUUUUCACGAGACGAUAAUGACGGUACCGGGUGAAUAAGCACCGGCUAACUCCGUG
rnacentral:rRNA from 1 species